CAUUUUUAAUUUAACAGAGAGACUCUUUUUUUUUUUCAGCCUGCAUGCCAUUAAGGAUGAGAUGUUUCUUAGACAUACUUUGUACCGUCAGGCAGCAGCAUUUAACCAUGCAUCCCUCAAUCAACCCCUUGCUGUUCCUCUCUAUAUUGAAACUGGUGCAAGCCAAAUAAAUGAACGAAGGGGUGGUUUAUAUUUCCCUUUUUCACCAUUGCCCCAGAUACGUUCCCAGGCUACUGCAGCGAUGGAAGAAACAGAUCUUAAUAUUGUGAAAAUUCCAACUGGAACAGAAAUGUGCUGUUUGUUUGAAGAUGGUAAGUAUGAAAUUUUUUAGGAAAAAUAAUAUACUUUGUAACUUU
rnacentral:lncRNA from 1 species